rnacentral:lncRNA from 1 species
AAAUAUAGGUAUCUUGGGAUCAGAGUUCUAAUUGUAUGUCACAGAGUGCUGUGUUAGAACCUUUCAGAGCCAGGGUUCCUGGGACCAUGAUCAGCUGAGUCUAGUUGCAUCAUGAUUAGUGAGAAGGUAGAGCAAAAAUGAUACAACACCCAAGAAUCGUACUAGCUACCAUUUCUCUUCCUGUCUUUAUCUUGGAGUUCU